GAAACCUACGCAUUCUACUCCGGUUUCGUGGCCCCCUUGAUCCAAUUGCUGCCCAAGGAAAAAGAUCAAGAGGUUGCUCAACUGUGGCUCAACAAACUCAACAGUGACGAGAACGAAGUCUACCGAAUACAGUAUGUCUUGCUUCUCUUCUACGCUCUCCACCGCGGGAAACUCUCGUGUCCCUUCGAUCGACCCCCUCCAGAUGGGAAACUCCCCAGGAUAUGUAAUGACUGCGCCGAGACUCUCGCAAAGUGUUCUGGCAAGAAACCCGAUGGAGGCGAUAGAAAAACCGCCAGGAAGAGCGAGAAAAGCUCCAAGAAGAACUCCGAGGAAGACGUCGUGGAAAGCACCGAAAAGACCCCUAAGGAAAAAGUCGUAAGGUGCUCCGAAGAACACCCCGCAAGAAAUGUUUCGACGUGUUCCAGGAGAAGCUCAGAUAAAAGCCCUGAAAAGCGCUCUCGUGAGAGCACUAAAAAGAGUGUUACAGGUAGCCUCGGGGAGGGCUUUAAAACUAUUUUCGGAGAAAGUCAAGGGAGGGCUCCGAAAAAAGCCGCGGAGAGAGUCCGGAAGAGAUCCGCGCAGAAAAUCUAUGGAAAAAUCGAGGAAAGAGCGUCGUGGGGAACCUCAAGGAGAACCCUGAAAAAGAGUUCAAGAGAAGAGCUUUGGAGAGCUUUGAGCAAUGGCCUGAGAGAGAUGGGCGGCAAAGGGCCGGAAAAGGCUCGAGCCCCAUGAAGAAUCUGGAGAACGCAGUCCCGGAGAGCACCGGGAGGAGUCCCAGGAGGAGAGCAGGAGACAUAGUUGCUAGGAGCCCAGAGAAGAAGCCCGACACGAGUCCGGAUGAUAAAGUCAUGAAGAACUCAAUAAAAAGGUCCGAGAAGAGUCUGGAAGAUGGAGUUGCUAAGAAUCCCGGAAGGAGGCCCAGAGAGAAGUCAGAGGAUGGAGUCGAGAGGAAUCCUGGAAAGAGGCCCGGAGAGAGUCUAGAAGAUGGACCUGCGAAGAGUCCUUGGAAGAGUCAAGAAGGCAUAUCCGCGAAGAGCUCUGGAAAGAGGUCUAGAGAUCUUCUAGAAAAUGAAAUUGCGAAGAGCCCUAAAGAGAGACCUGGGAAGAGUUUGGAAGAUAAAAACCGGAAAAGGGAUAAGAGGAGCCCUAGAAAGAGUUCCCAGAGGAGCGUUGCGGAGACCCAACCGGCACAAGGAGACGAUGCUGGAAAGAGCACCGGUCCGAGACUGAUCGCAUCCAAGUCUUAUGUCACGUCAAAGGCCGCAGUGAGCGACACGAAAAUCGGCAAGAGUCUUUCAAUUCAUGUCGAUAUUCACCUGGAGUUCGACAAAUUCCACGGUCUCAAACUCAAACCCGGAGCCAAUUGCAGAGUCGUGCCGGGUCACAAUAGCUUACAUGAUAGCACCAUGAAAAUGUUAUCAAAUCCUACCCACACUGUGCCCGCAAAAGAUGCCAAUGAAGUUGGAAAUGACAUUAAGUCUGGGCCAACUGCAAAAGAAGUAGAAGAGGAAACGAAUAAAGAAUGUUUGAAAUUCGAACGUCAGAGGGCAAAGUGCAAUGUGGAAUGUAUGCUGAAACCGAAACGUGUCUUCGAUACGGAUGCCAAAAAAAUUGGCGAAAAUGACAAGAGGGGAGCCCAUGAACGUGUGAAGGAUCAAGACUCUUCGAAUCCGAAGGAAAUUGACGCACUGCUCUUAGAUAAGCUUAAGUUCUGUCCAAAAGUUCGCCAUGGGGGUGGCAGUGAGGGGCCGGACCCGUGUACUGAAGCUGAUUCAAUGUAUCUAGAGGAUUCAUGCUCUCAAGAUACUGACACUCAUGAGUCUGACAAAUUUCACUUAAAGUCGAGUGGAAGUACGGCCAAGCUCAAUAAUGGAAUUAGGUCCUCUGAAUCGGCGAGGGAAUCUUCUGAGAAAGCCUCUAAAGAGACAUCUGAGAACGCUUUCACGUGGACAUCUGAGACGCUCUGCACGGGAACCUCCAAAAAAACCUCUAUGGGGACUUUUACAUUCUAUCCUAGAGAAGGAUGGAAGGUAGUCAUAGAAGAUAAACCCUCUGGGAAUUUGCAACCUCAAAAAGGAUUCGACGGAAUGGAUCCAUACCAAAGGAACAUUGAUUUCAAGAAAUCUGUUUCAGACUCGCCUCCUAAGAAUGUGAUAAAAAAAGAAUUCCACGAAACGGAUCCAUUUCAUCGAAUCGUUGUUAAAAAAGAAGCUGUCAAAGACUCGCCUUCUCAGUAUAAGGUAAAAAAGAAUUCGACGGAAUGGAUUCGUACCAAGAAACUAUGA
rnacentral:lncRNA from 1 species